UGACUGCUAUCGGAUUGAUACUAAGCCAUGCGAGUCAUUGUAGCAAUACAAGGCAGACGGCUCAGUAACGCGUAGUCAACCUAACCUAUGGACGGGAAUAACCUCGGGAAACUGAGAAUAAUGCCCGAUAGAACACUAUACCUGGAAUGGUUUGUGUUCCAAAUGAUUUAUCGCCGUAGGAUGGGACUGCGGCCUAUCAGUUUGUUGGUGAGGUAAUGGCCCACCAAGACUAUUACAGGUACGGGCUCUGAGAGGAGUAGCCCGGAGAUGGGUACUGAGACACGGACCCAGGCCCUAUGGGGCGCAGCAGGCGAGAAAACUUUGCAAUGUGCGAAAGCACGGCAAGGUUAAUCCGAGUGGUUUCUGCUAAAGGAACCUUUUGUCGGUCCUAGAAACACCGAUGAAUAAGGGGUGGGCAAGUUCUGGUGUCAGCCGCCGCGGUAAAACCAGCACCUCAAGUGGUCAGGAUGAUUAUUGGGCCUAAAGCAUCCGUAGCCGGCGCUAUAAGUUUUCGGUUAAAUCUGUACGCUCAACGUACAGGCUGCCGGGAAUACUGUAGCGCUAGGGAGUGGGAGAGGUAGACGGUACUCGGUAGGAAGGGGUAAAAUCCUUUGAUCUAUUGAUGACCACCUGUGGCGAAGGCGGUCUACCAGAACACGUCCGACGGUGAGGGAUGAAAGCUGGGGGAGCAAACCGGAUUAGAUACCCGGGUAGUCCCAGCUGUAAACUAUGCAAACUCAGUGAUGCAUUGGCUUGUGGCCAAUGCAGUGCUGCAGGGAAGCCGUUAAGUUUGCCGCCUGGGAAGUACGUACGCAAGUAUGAAACU
rnacentral:rRNA from 1 species